CAACCCGACCCCUGCCGCCGUUCUCCCCGUGCCUGGUUUUCUCUCCCACACGUCCGAGCGGUUUUUCCCCCCGCCCCCUCUCCACCAGCUCGUCCGAGCGGUUCUUUCCCCCGCCCCCUCCAGCAGCUCGCAGAUGCGGCGGCGCGGCCCCACUAUUCCCCUGCGCCGCCGGCCCCCGUGUUUCCCUCCGCCCUGCGUCGCCGGCCGCGCGAUUUCUAGGCGCCCGUGUCGUCCGGCGAGCUUGCAGCGACUGCUCCCGCCGGCCCGCGCGAGCCCCUGCCCGGCGAGCUGCAGCGUCUGCUCCCGACGCCGUUCGUCCCGUUGCUGAUCCGGGGACUGGCACCGCCCACCGCCCGCUGCUGGCCAGCCCCUGCGUGUUCCCGCAUUCCAGGCGACGAUCUCCCGUUCCCAACGCCGGUCCGAUCCAUCCUCACGUCUCCGGCGAUCCUCCUCCGGCCUGGCUUUCUAUCAGACUGUGGAGCAGCUCAACGGAGCGAUCCAGGUUUUUGGAUGAAUGCUGCUGAUUCCCUGCAAGGCACAAGGAUUAUAUUGGUUCUCAACCGAGCCGGGGAGCAUUUUCUAAUGUGCCUCCUGUCCAGUCCAGGCAGGUGAUGCCACUGCAGGUUCCAUGACCAUGGAGAUGAGGCUGCAGAACAGCGGGUGUACAAUGGGGCGUACACGGACGAGCUCUGCAAAAAAAGAAGGUCAGUGACACCAAGCUGCUCGGAUGGUCAAAAGCAAUGAUCCUCUCCUAAUCAUGAUGCUGCCCCUAUCCAAUCUUGAUUUUUUCUGUUGCUUUUUUUUAAUGUUCCUGAAAUCUUAAUUACCUAGAGGUAUACAUCUGGAUUGCUUGUUGAAUCCCAAUGCCUCAUCUCCUUUUUGUUGUCUCUGGAGGGAUACGGAUGACCGGAUCGAUCCUGCUGCGACAACCAUUUUGACCCUGCUGGAGGCGACAGCUAGACGGCAAACGUCUCGUGAAUCCAACCUCUGCUGGUGCUAACCUGACCUCUGCCUGUGGAACACCCUCUAUACAGGUCUUGAGCUCCAGCACCAUCUUCUUGCGAAACUUCCAUGACCAUAGGUUAGGUUCCUGCCUGCAGCCCUGCACCUUUGAAUAUCAUCAGUCUAUUCUUCAGCUCCAACAUUUUCUUAUGGCUUUUCCAUGAGAUGGGUCCUGCAAACUGCUUUAUCCCUUGGUAUUAUUAUACCAGGGUCUUUGGAAGGUCUGGUCGUCUGGAUGAAUCCUCCACUUGCAGCUGCAGGAACAAUCUUAAUUGAAGUUCUACAUGACCUCAGAUGCAACUACAAAAAUUUAUGUACAAAUGUACUGAUUGCAAAACUACCUAUUGGAAACUUUGUACCUGUAAAGCAAUGUAAUCAAGGUGUUGCCGUGAAAUCUGAAAUUUCAAGUACAAUGUUGGAUACUUGACCAUAAAAGUUAAUCAUCAUGUGUUGAAGAAACAUUACGAUAUAA